rnacentral:rRNA from 1 species
UACGAAGGGUGCAAACGUUGCUCGGAAUCAUUGGGCGUAAAGCGCACGUAGGCGGCCUCAUAAGUCGGAUGUGAAAUCCCUCGGCUCAACCAAGGACGUGCAUCCGAAACUGUGAAGCUCGAGUAUGGAAGAGGGUCGCGGAAUUCCCGGUGUAGAGGUGAAAUUCGUAGAUAUCGGGAGGAACACCAGUGGCGAAGGCGGCGACCUGGGCCAAUACUGACGCUGAGGUGCGAAAGCGUGGGGAGCAAACAGG